rnacentral:rRNA from 1 species
GAUCAUGGCUCAGAUUGAACGCUGGCGGCAUGCCUUACAUAUGCAAGUCGAACGGUAACGCGGGGCAACCUGGCGACGAGUGGCGAACGGGUGAGUAAUAUAUCGGAACGUGCCCAGUAGUGGGGGAUAGCCCGGCGAAAGCCGGAUUAAUACCGCAUGAGACCUGAGGGUGAAAGCGGGGGAUCGCAAGACCUCGCGCGAUUGGAGCGGCCGAUAUCAGAUUAGGUAGUUGGUGGGGUAAAGGCUCACCAAGCCAACGAUCUGUAGCUGGUCUGAGAGGACGACCAGCCACACUGGAACUGAGACACGGUCCAGACUCCUACGGGAGGCAGCAGUGGGGAAUUUUGGACAAUGGACGCAAGUCUGAUCCAGCCAUUCCGCGUGCAGGAUGAAGGCCCUCGGGUUGUAAACUGCUUUUGUACGGAACGAAAAGGUUUGUCUUAAUACGAUGAGCUCAUGACGGUACCGUAAGAAUAAGCACCGGCUAACUACGUG